rnacentral:rRNA from 1 species
CGCGUAGGCGGUGGGUUACGUCUGCCGUGAAAUCCCCGGGCUCAACCUGGGAAUGGCGGUGGAAACGGGCUGACUAGAGUAUGGGAGAGGGUGAUGGAAUUCCAGGUGUAGCGGUGAAAUGCGUAGAGAUCUGGAGGAACAUCAGUGGCGAAGGCGGUCACCUGGCCCAAUACUGACGCUGAGGCGCGAAAGCGUGGGGAGCAAACAG